ensembl:rRNA 5S_rRNA 5S ribosomal RNA
GCUUACGGCCAUACCAACCAGAAAACGCCCGAUCUCGUCUGAUCUCGGAAGCUAAGCAGGGUCGGGCCUGGUUAGUACUUGGAUGGGAGACCGCCUGGGAAUACCAGGUGCUGUAAGCU